UUUGAGAGUAGCUACUUUGAACUAGCUACUUGCUAUUAUUUUAUGAGAAUAGGGCUUAUGGCCUACACCAUCAUCAUGAGUGCCCCAUCAGAUGUCCCUGAUGGAAAUUGUUGACUCUUGAGACACAACACAGCUGUAGACAGCAUGCCUUUGAACCAGAAAAUAUUUGAGGACCUCUAGCCACUCUGGGGAAUGUGGUCUACUUCACAGUGUACAUGACUCAAGUGAGCAACUCAUCUGGAAACACCAUUAUGGAAGCAGCAAGCAGCAGCACUUAUCUGAGCAUCUUGAUUCCACAAGGUUUCAUCAAGCCGACACAGAAAAUUCACCAUGACAGAAGGCUGCCUGGAGGAAUGCAUCAGGGAGAGCGGCUUAGAGGUUAUCCUACUGCUGUAAUAGGACAUCAUGACCAACACGGAGAGUGUCUUAGAGGUUAUCCUAUUGCUGUAAUAGGACAUCAUGACCAAAAUGGAGAGUGUUUUAGAGGCUAUCCUAUUGCUGUAAUAGGACAUCAUGACCAAAA
rnacentral:lncRNA from 1 species